rnacentral:lncRNA from 1 species
GAAGGAUUGUUUCUUUUAGGAUGAUAUGUGAGAAAUGAGAAUUAGAAAUACUAAUGGUAUGAUAUGCUGUCUACCCAUUUUCCCACACUACUUGAGAAGACAGGAAAAGGCCCUCAUGUAUAAUCUGACAGGUCACAAAAAUAUCUGAUUUCAAAGAGAUGCUCGUAUUCUGUGCUGAUGCCAUCUAAGAAUGCAAAUGCUCAAAUGUGACACUGCUAAGUGGAAAAAGGUACUUAGCGAUAGUGGCUGGAGUAGAGAAAAGAAAUCAGCACUGCUCUGUAGAUGUGCCCAGGAGGAGUUCCUACUGUUUGAAGACCUGGUAAAUGAUUACAACCUUCAACCAGGUUUGAGAACAAUAGACCUUUUGAUAGGACCAUAUCAAUGUUCCCCUUUUGCCAGUCUUGGAAUAUAUUCAUUUAUUUAUCUGUAUUCAAAGAAAAAUUUAUAAAAACAAAUAUAUAUUAAUGCAACAUUAUGUGAAAAUAUCUUCAUGGUUCUUAGGAUUCCAAAUACAGAGAAUCCAUCAUGAAUAUUCAUAGUAGAGUUAACUGGGUUGCAUAUUCUUGUUUGCACUGAAAAUUUAUGGCAAUAAGUAAAACUUCCUUGCAUAUAAAUUCUUCUGACUACUUACUUUCAACAUGUUUUGCUUUCCAUCACUAUUUAUAAAGUCCAUUUAUUCUGCAUUUUGCAAAUGAGUGAAACUUCAUCAAAAUGAUGUGAGACAAAGAAUCUAUUAUUCCAUAACCCAAGUGAAGAAGAGAGAAAAAGAUCAUAAACUAAGAACAAAAAGAGACAGAAAGAAAAAAAUGAAAAAAAAAUAAUGCAUCAGUGGUUAUAAAUGCAUUGGAUGUGGGGAUCUCUUAUGAUGCUGAAGUGUAUUAAAAUUAAGUCAUUUUCCCAAAACUCAAAGAAUCAAAAUUACUUUAUUCUGAUGCACAAUAAACACAAAGGCAAGGUUGCCA